CAGCAGGGGCGAGUGGAGUGCAGGGAGAGGAAGGGGUACAGCAGGGGUUAGUGGAGGGCAGUAAUCGAUUUUUUGAGGCAAACAAUGUGCAGUCUAGAGAUGUUCUUGGAGUUGAUUAGUCAUCAAUAUCUUAAUACAAAGUGCUCUUUACAUAGAAUCUGUUACCUAUAAAGUACCCCGUGCAUUUAACAGUGAGUAUUGCUACCAGCUAGAGGCCGUAUCUUUAAAUUAUCUGCUGGAACCAGUUAUCUGAGGAUGCUCUGCUGGCCUUAGACCUCACGGACCCCAGGCAGAGACUUCAUGGGUACAGAUUCCAGGAGGAAGAGCCCUCAGUGACUGUGACAUGGAGUGGAUACUUUUCCAGUGAGUGUCAGUAGAACCACAGCUCCACGAAUGGAGGGAACACCAUUGGCCCCAGCAUUUCUGGGUCUUGAUGCCCUGCUGGACCUAAUGCUAUGUGUAUGCCAUGAGCUGGUUACAUCUCCUCUGGCCCACGAGACACACAUCUCUGAAUUCCUGAGCUGGGGUGAGUGUUCGCUUGGCUAGCUGGGCAUCAUAGGAAACGUAGUCCUC
rnacentral:lncRNA from 1 species